UACGUAGGGUGCGAGCGUUAAUCGGAAUUACUGGGCGUAAAGCGUGCGCAGGCGGUUGUGCAAGACAGAGGUGAAAUCCCCGGGCUUAACCUGGGAACUGCCUUUGUGACUGCACGGCUAGAGUGUGUCAGAGGGGGGUAGAAUUCCACGUGUAGCAGUGAAAUGCGUAGAUAUGUGGAGGAAUACCGAUGGCGAAGGCAGCCCCCUGGGAUAACACUGACGCUCAUGCACGAAAGCGUGGGGAGCAAACAGG
rnacentral:rRNA from 1 species